UACGUAGGCAGCAAGCGUUGUUCGGAAUUACUGGGCGUAAAGAGUGUGUAGGCGGUGCUCUAAGUUCGGUGUGAAAUCUCCCGGCUAAACUGGGAGGGUGCGCCGGAAACUGGGGUGCUGGAGCGCGGGAGAGGAAAGCGGAAUUCCUGGUGUAGCGGUGAAAUGCGUAGAUAUCAGGAGGAACACCGGCGGUGUAGACGGCUUUCUGGACCGUAGCUGACGCUGAGACACGAAAGCGUGGGUAGCAAACAGG
rnacentral:rRNA from 1 species